GUACGCUGGCGGCACGCCUAACACAUGCAAGUCGAACGAAGUAGCAAUACUUAGUGGCAGACGGGUGAGUAACAUGUAGGUAUCUGCCCUUUGGCCUGGAAUAACACGAGGAAACUUGUGCUAAUACCGGAUAAGUCUUUACGGAGAAAGCUUUAUGCACCAUUGGAUGAGCCUGCACUUGAUUAGUUUGUUGGUGGGGUAAUGGCCUACCAAGACUGUGAUCAAUAGCUGAUUUGAGAGGAUGAUCAGCCACAUUGGGACUGAGACACGGCCCAAACUCCUACGGGAGGCAGCAGUGGGGAAUCUU
rnacentral:rRNA from 1 species